AUGAACGCUGGCGGCGUGCCUAAUACAUGCAAGUCGAGCGAACAGACGAGGAGCUUGCUCCUCUGACGUUAGCGGCGGACGGGUGAGUAACACGUGGAUAACCUACCUAUAAGACUGGGAUAACUUCGGGAAACCGGAGCUAAUACCGGAUAAUAUAUUGAACCGCAUGGUUCAAUAGUGAAAGACGGUUUUGCUGUCACUUAUAGAUGGAUCCGCGCCGCAUUAGCUAGUUGGUAAGGUAACGGCUUACCAAGGCAACGAUGCGUAGCCGACCUGAGAGGGUGAUCGGCCACACUGGAACUGAGACACGGUCCAGACUCCUACGGGAGGCAGCAGUAGGGACUCUUCCGCAAUGGGCGAAAGCCUGACGGAGCAACGCCGCGUGAGUGAUGAAGGUCUUCGGAUCGUAAAACUCUGUUAUUAGGGAAGAACAAAUGUGUAAGUAACUAUGCACGUCUUGACGGUACCUAAUCAGAAAGCCACGGCUAACUACGUG
rnacentral:rRNA from 1 species